rnacentral:rRNA from 1 species
AUUGAACGCUGGCGGCAGGCCUAACACAUGCAAGUCGAGCGAGCGGCGGACGGGUGAGUCACGUAUGGGGACUGCCCGAUAGAGGGGGAUAACUACUGGAAACGGUGGCUAAUACCGCAUACUAACGGAUAACCCAUAUGGGAUUAGCUAGUAGGUGGGGUAAAGGCUCACCUAGGCGAAGAUCUCUAGCUGGUCUGAGAGGAUGAUCGCCCACAGUAGAACUGGUACACGGCCCAGGCUCCUGCGUAGGCAGCAGAGGGGAAUAUUGCACAAUAGUCGCGAGCCUGGAGCAACCAUGCCGCGUGUAUUAAGAAGGCCUUAGGGUGGUAAAGUACUUUCUGCGGGUAGGCGUUACCCGCAGAAGAAGCACCGGCUAACUACGUGCCAGCAGCCGCGGUAAUAC